rnacentral:piRNA from 1 species
UUUGAAAAGUUCAUUUGGAAA